rnacentral:rRNA from 1 species
UGGGGAAUCUUGGACAAUGGGCGCAAGCCUGAUCCAGCCAUGCCGCGUGAGCGAUGAAGGCCUUAGGGUUGUAAAACUCUUUCGCUAGGGAAGAUAAUGACGGUACCUAGUAAAGAAGUCCCGGCUAACUCCGUGCCAGCAGCCGCGGUAAUACGGAGGGGACUAGCGUUGUUCGGAAUUACUGGGCGUAAAGCGCACGUAGGCGGAUCGGAAAGUUGGGGGUGAAAUCCCGGGGGCUCAACCCCGGAACUGCCUCCAAAACUAUUGGUCUAGAGUUCGAGAGAGGUGAGUGGAAUUCCAAGUGUAGAGGUGAAAUUCGUAGAUAUUUGGAGGAACACCAGUGGCGAAGGCGGCUCACUGGCUCGAUACUGACGCUGAGGUGCGAAAGUGUGGGGAGCAAACAGGAUUAGAUACCCUGGUAGUCCACACCGUAAAACGAUGAAUGCCAGUCGUCGGGUAGCAUGCUAUUCGGUGACACACCU